AUUAAAUAACAAGUUUAAACUAAUUAACUUUUGUUCGGUAAGUUUGAAAUUUAAUGCCAGUUUUCGUAACGUGUUUAUGAAUCUUGUUUUAUUUCAAUGAUUACUUCUUCUUCUUAAAGGUCAACAAGGCUUCAAUACUGUCAGAUGAAUACAUGUUGUACAAAAUAAAAUGGAAAGUUAAUAAGAAAAAAAGACAACUUUACGAUCGGGCUUAUUAUAAUUGUCCAAAAAGAAAAAAAAAGAAAAACUUUCGUUGCAAAAAUAUUAACAACUUACGUAAAUAAUUAUUCAAAUCUUGAAAAUCCCCAAACCUUUAGAGAUUUUCAACCAAGUCAGAUUUCCAUGGACAUUCUGGUUAUCUUUUUAUAUUUCUCAAUAACAGAAAAUACAAAACACAACAAAUAACAAGAGC
rnacentral:lncRNA from 1 species